rnacentral:lncRNA from 1 species
AAAAAAAAAAACCCAGAAACUUUUCUGAGCACGAAGCAGAUGAUACAACAGCCCUGUGCAACCUCCAAAGGCUACUAGCAGCAUUCUGUGCAAUGGUGAGGCUUCUCCUCUUGCACAAAAGCAAGAGGAAAUGAAUCACAGUAACCGAGCAGCAUCCAGUAUGUCAGCACCUAGCAACGUCAGGUCCUGGAACCGCACAAUUGUAGGAUCACUAAGGUAGGAAAAGACCUCUCAGAUCACCAAGUCCAACCCCAACUCAUCCCCAUUAUGCACACUGACCAUGUCCCACAGUGCCACGUCUCCACAUUGAAGCAUCCUAUUCACUGGAAACUUAUCUACGGGGACACACUAGAGCUGAGAGCUGAAGGGAGAGGACACGAUACAUUUAUCUGGUGCCAAGCAAUUCACUUUUUAUGCAGUACUGAACAUUACCCAUAUAGAGGCGAUGGAUUUCUUUGCAGUUUGUUCCUGUUCUAACAAGAAUUGAAAUCUGCUGAACAAAGAUGGAGGUGAACAAAUGAAUUCAUGAGCGACUGCUGGGCUGAGGCAUAAACUCCUCCAGAACAAAAUAAUGCAGGAUGGAUGGGUGCUGUGCUCGUGAACACAUCCCAGUCCUGGACGUCAGCAUGGGCACUUUGUGCCCAGCAGAGCUUUGUGCCAUAACAAAGUGCUGAAAGGAUUUAUUCAGAGAUGAAGAUGAGUCUGGGAGGUCUCUUCAAACUGACUUGCAGCUUUUGUCAUAUCCUUCCUUCACUAAAAACUACAAUCUAAACCAAAUGCUUCCAUCAAAACCAAAAUCACUUGGACAAACCCAUGAAGAAACAGCAUGCGUACUUUACACUGAUGACUGAUCCCCAUAUGUGAUUGUACUUAAAAAAAAUUAGAAAGGAAAGUUGACCUCGGGGCAAUUCUUGCUCUGGGUUGUGCUGUAAUGCAAUAGGAUUUAUAAAUCUUUAAUUGCAGUUGGUUUGUUAUAAAUGUUUAAUGAUAACAUGAUGUCCAAAUGGCUGUUGGAGGGUAUUAGUGACUAGGCAGAAUUACAAAGCUGCAGUACUGUAAGUAACCUAGCAAUGGGCAGAAGAUACAAGGGAUUCACAACUGUUCUAAAUAUGUGCCAGGGAUAACGGGGUGUGUGGUGCGUGUGUAUGCGCACAAGGAUGUGCGUGUGCACGGAUUUACAUAGCAAUAAUUCAAUCAGCUUGCCUGGAAAUUCUCAGUUUGUGUGGGAAGACCAUUGAAUCACUUGAAAUGGCUUUUAAUUAAACCUUUAAAGGUUCGUUUCGUCAAAAAAAUUCUCAGAGCUCACACUGCUCCUUGGCACCCCAGCCCUCUGCACGCUGGUAUGGAAGCCUCCCCACCUAUAGGUCACAGCCAGCCCUACAGCAUAGGCUGUUCUGAUCCACUUGUUCCCUUUCUUCUCCUGUUUCUUCAUGGGAUUGAUGAGAGAAGCAAGAGGAGAGGACCCCACCAGCUACGAUGGGUGU